rnacentral:lncRNA from 1 species
GAAUAGAGUCCGUGGGAUUUCUGAGGAGAAAUCAAACUCAUCGUUUGGUAGUGGGGAAUUGCGAAAGUUACACCAACCAUAAAAUUAAAAGGAAAAUUAAAUCAUUUAUACAUUGACCACAUUGCCCUUCAUUCACCACCCCUUUCAUCCCCCAACUCUAUUUCUCUUUCUGCUCAAGAUGAACUCCCUCUCUUCAUCUUCACCGAUUCGUUUUCCGCCUUCAUCUGUACUGUCUCCCUCUCUCUAAAAUUCAUAGUUUUGUCGAUUGCUCCUGAAGACGAAGUUGCCAUCCGCUGCAUACCCGUGGCGUUGAUCAAGAACGAAAGUUAUGAUGACGCUCUAAUUCUGCGAUUUACCACGCGUGGACGCUUUAGCUUCAGCUUGAUUUUAGGGUUUUCGAAUCUUGCCAAAGUUCAUGAUGCAAUAAUAGCUUUGGUUUCUUCAUGAUUUGUGAAAUAAAAUAAUAAUUUGGUUUCUUAAUGGAAAGCUUUGGUUGUUCACGAUGAUUGGAGUAUGCAGGGCGGCGGUGAGGUAGGUGGGCUUUUUUUUGGACGGCAAUGGUGGAAGAGGUAAGAAAAAGAGAGGGACAAGGGGCAACAAUGGAAAGUUAAUUUUAGUUGGAGAGAAACUCUGGGUUUCUCACAAAUGUUGGUCAAGAGCAACAUUUUCAAGAAUAUCAAAUUUGGAUUAAAUGUGGG